UACGGGGGGGGCAAGCGUUGUUCGGAAUCAUUGGGCGUAAAGCGCGCGUAGGUGGCCUCGUAAGUCCGCUGUGAAAGUCAAAGGCUCAACCUUUGAAAGCCGGUGGAUACUGUGAGGCUAGAGUACGGAAGAGGCGAGUGGAAUUCCUGGUGUAGCGGUGGAAUGCGCAGAUAUCAGGAGGAACACCAAUAGCGAAGGCAGCUCGCUGGGACGUAACUGACACUGAGGCGCGAAAGCGUGGGGAGCGAACAGG
rnacentral:rRNA from 1 species